AGUUUGGGAUGGGUAAAGACAAAGUAACAUGGGAUUUUUAAAAUUUUUAAAUAUUAUUCAUACAUUUAUAAUUAUCAUACAAUAGUUGAUUUGCUAGAUACACUUGGGCCUAGAUAUGCUUGUACGAUAUGCUGGGCAGUGGUGGUUUUUUUUUUUAUUGUUGUUUGUUUGUUUGCUUUUGGUUGUGUUGUUGUUUCAGGCUUUUGUUUGAUUUUUUUGAGAAAGAACUUAAAAUGGAUGGGUAGAGAAGGAGAGAAGAUCUGGAAAGACUUAGGGGAGGGAACGGAUAUGAUAAAAUGUAUUUAAAUUUAAAAAAUGCUUUAAAUACCCAAAAUACGAUAAUAUGACAUGGAUAUCUAAAAAGAGAAAUAAUUCUGGAACUUUUUAUUUUAACGGUAGCAAUGGAAAGCUUUUAUUGUUUUCCAAAUAUUCAUUAUACAUCUCUUGAUCUAUUUGAAAUUUGGUCACUCCAUUACGCCAGCUACUUGUCUGGUGUGAGUGCAGUGCAUUCUGGGUACACUUUCCAAGCCUGGACAUUAGGUCUUACAUCACAUCCGCCAAACACAUGGUGACUGUUAUAGAAAGUCACCUGGUAAAUUUCCAUUUUUUCAUUACAUUACGAUUUGAAAAAAAAAUGGAACAGUUUUUUUUUCCUGCAGUUUUAAAAAAUUGUUGUGGAGGGGCCUGGUGCUGUUCUUGUGAACCAAUCACCUAAUGAAUAAAGGAGCCAAUCACUGAGCGAGUAGGCGGGUCUUCUGGGUUGGAGGGAGGGAGAGAGGUAGCAGGAGAGAGUUAGGUCCUCUUGGAACAGGGACAGCAUAUGGGUAAGAUGGAGCCUCUAGAGUUUUCCUGUAUCAUGGCGGAUCUGCAAGGGUCCACCACGGAAGGAAUCAGAUUUUAAUAAGGCUCGCAAAAUUAGGUUUUAGUUGUUGUGCCCAGAGAUUGAGUUACAAUUGUUUCUGAACUAAGUUUGUGUUGCGUUUUCCUUCACACAGCAGCUUGUCAGGGUUCAAGAGAAAAAGGUAUGGCGGCAAAGCGUAGGUUUGCCAGAUGUAUACCACAAAGGCUGUGGAGGAUUUGAAGCAUGGGGCUGGAGUGAUAGCGAACCCCAACAGUGGGAACCUAGCGAGCUAGUUGGAGAGAUUGUGGAAUUCUGAGUCAAGAGUCUCCAUGAGCUACAAACAGGUCGGCCAUUGCCUGGCAGUAGGAACUUGGAUAUAUAUAUUUCCCACAACAACAAC
rnacentral:lncRNA from 1 species